CCCAACUCUCCUCGCCGAACAUUGCCGACACGUGCUUGGAGAAGAACGUGAGGCACAGGGGACCACUGUUGCCCUGAACAGGACACCGGCACCUUCUCGCCUUCUACCCAUAGCAAGCACAAACCUCUGCACGCCAAGGGGCACCCUUGUUGAAGCGAUGCUGCGUCCAACAUGCGCGCUGGCGGCGGCGGAGUUCAAGCAGAAGUCGCGCUGGUCCAGCGUGUGGCCGAACAUGCGCUAUGGCGCCAUGUACCUCAACUACAGCGUUGGUCGUCAGCUGCCGAUGAAGGGUGUGAACUGGGUAACGCGAGAUUCUAACCGGCUCACGAACUUUGCUGCUCGCUACAGCAGCGUCAUUGAAGACAUCGAUGUGAAGCGCAACGAGGAGGAGCUGAACAUCCAGAUGAGCGACGUGCGAUGGAACGACCACCGCCGCAUCUACUGGAAAUGCUUCUUUUGUGGCUCGUCGUACCGCAAGAAUGUCUCGGUGCGCACCAAGUUCCACGCUGGGUGCAACUUCUGCAAGGGCCGCUACGCCUCCGAGGUUCUGAGAGAGCAGACUCCGGUGGUGGCGCUGAGGGAAGCGCAGCCGGAGCUGUUCAAGGGCCUGGCUGAGAAUGAGAAGAACGACAACAUAGGCUCGCUGAGCGUGACGAGCAAGUUCCGUGCUGAGUGGAAGUGCCAGUCUUGCGGGCAGCCGUACCGCGCGACAAUUCGCAGCCGCACCGGGCUCACAGAACCAGGGCAAGCGCCACUGCACCCACGCAUCACGGAGUGGUCUGCACACUGCCCCGCGUGCGCGUGGCGGGCAAACAUGACUACCAUAGGCCUGAAAGCGCAGGAGGAGGGCCAGUACCUGGGUCUCGAGACCUCCUUGGCGGAGGCGACGAGCGCGGCAGCAGGCAAGCGGAUCCCGCGUCGCAGGAAGCUGGUGACGUGAGGCGGCUGCAGAGGGCUUCUCUUUCUGGUCGACGACUGCUUGCGCGUACAAACGUAGUCACGCCUGGAUAGAUCUUGUGCUGCUUUUAUGGGCGCGGUCGCUACGGUGUGCGUGUGCUGGAUGUCUGAUGCAAUACCUGCAUGUGUGUUGCUGUGCGUUUUAUGCUGUGUGUGACUGUGGUGGCGGACGUCUCGUAACGCCUCUCUUGCUGUUG
rnacentral:misc_RNA from 1 species